CCUACGGGAGGCAGCAGUGAGGAAUAUUGGUCAAUGGGCGGAAGCCUGAACCAGCCAAGUAGCGUGCAGGAUGACGGCCCUACGGGUUGUAAACUGCUUUUAUACGGGAAUAACGCGCCUUCCGUGUAGGGCUUUGCAUGUACCGUAUGAAUAAGGUCCGGCUAAUUCCGUGCCAGCAGACGCGGUAAUACGGAAGGUACGGGCGUUAUCCGGAUUUAUUGGGUUUAAAGGGAGCGUAGGCCGCAUGUCAAGCGUGCUGUGAAAUGUCCGGGCUCAACCCGGGCCUUGCAGCGCGAACUGGUGGGCUUGAGUCCGCGGAAAGCAGGCGGAAUUCGGCGUGUAGCGGUGAAAUGCUGAGAUAUGACGAAGAACCCCGAUGGCGAAGGCAGCUUGCUGCAGCGGAACUGACGCUGAUGCUCGAAAGCGCGGGUAUCGAACAGGAUUAGAUACCCCGGUAGUC
rnacentral:rRNA from 1 species